rnacentral:lncRNA from 1 species
GAACUUUUGGCAAAUUUACCAGAACUCCCUAGUCGCUUGCUCGUGCCUUGAGGUUACGUACAAGGGACUGGGAAAAGAUCUUUGCCUGAGGGAGAAAACAUACAGACAUUACACAGUUCUUUUCACCACCUUCAGAGUGCCAUACGCGGUGCUCAGAGACGGAGGUGCACAGUUUUGGUGUUUUUUUCUGGCUGACUUGAGCGUCGGAGUGCAAACGGCCGCUACGGCGCC